rnacentral:rRNA from 1 species
UACGUAGGGGGCUAGCGUUGUCCGGAUUUAUUGGGCGUAAAGAGCGUGUAGGCGGCCAGGUAGGUCUGCUGUGAAAACUCGAGGCUCAACCUCGAGACGCCGAUGGAAACCAUCUGGCUAGAGUCCGGAAGAGGAGAGUGGAAUUCCUGGUGUAGCAGUGAAAUGCGCAGAUAUCAGGAAGAACACCCGUGGCUAAGGCGGCUCUCUAGUACGGUACUGACGCUGAGACGCGAAAGCGUGGGGAGCGAACAGG